CCGUUAUUAACUGAGUUUUAGAAACUAAAUGACUGAAACACCCUUCCACAUAAGAAAUUCAUUGGGGCUAUAUUCGUCUUCACGCACGAUCAGAAGCCCUAGUAAUGCAAAUGCUAGGUAUUUUUUCCCUCCAUUUGCUUUGGUCGAUCCUGCAGUCCGGCGGCUUGUCUUCAAUUCUCACGUCCUCUUUCGUGUAAGGAAUGGAAUCGCAGAUCAAGCAUGCUGUGGUGGUCAAAGUGAUGGGUAGAACUGGAUCAAGAGGGCAGGUGACUCAAGUUAGAGUCAAGUUUCUUGAUGAUCAGAAUCGUUACAUUAUGAGGAAUGUCAAGGGACCAGUGAGGGAAGGAGACAUUCUUACCCUGUUGGAGUCAGAGAGGGAAGCUAGAAGAUUGCGUUGAUGGGGAUCAAGUUCCCAGUUCCCCGGUUUGCAGUUGCUAAAUGUUAUCCUUUUAUCUUACCUACAAAUAGAAUGCUUUACAUCAUUUUUCCCUAUUGAAGUGUGAUUUUAGUGACUAACUUCUCCAAGGCUUUGCUUCCAUGGCAGAAUAUGUGAACUGGAUGAGUAAUUUAAUUGAGUUCUGAAACGAUAAUUUUGUGUUUAU